rnacentral:rRNA from 3 species
AGGUGAACCUGCGGAAGGAUCA